AUGACCAACGUGCAGCAAAAAGACACCAUGCCAGAGAAAAUGGAAGUCAAUUCCAAGGUUGUUGAUCCUCCAAUGAACUUUUACCUACGUUCACUGGAGGAACAAGUACGGGUUGAGCUUAAGGACAGCCGGGCAAAGCUCACCCAAACCAAAUCUGUGGGGAGAGUUCUCCAGAUCGACGAGGACAGAUUGCAACAGUUCCUCGAUCUUCUCCAAGAACAUAAGAAUGGAGAUGUACACAAGGAGAUGUGUAGCCUGAAAGCACAGCUAAAACAGGCCAGAAGCAAGAUCCCAACUUCUCUGGAUGGUGCUGAGAAACCGACAUCCAUUAUCAAGAUGCAGCCCGUACAGUUGCAGAUAAAGGGAGAAAAAGAGUCCAUUAAAUUGGAAAGUCAACUGGAAAUUGAGAGGACUCAAACAAAGGAGCUAUGCAUUCAAUUGACAACAUUGACAGAAGCUCUCAAAAACCAGGAUGAGGCAGCAAUCGCAAUAAAGGAGAGAUUCCAGGACUUCGAUGACAUCCAGAUCACCAAUUGGAAACUGGAGGCAAACAGGAUGGCUGCGGCCCUGAAAGCAGCAGAGAACCAACUCCAAUCUGAGAGGAUGAAGGUAGACAAAGAGGCCCUUCAAAAUGACCCGUACGCUAAGACCUGUGCUGCAAUGAAAUCGUUUACAGCAGCUAAAACUAACCUGAAGUUGAAAAAUGACCUGGAAAUUGAGAGGGCUCAAACAAAGAAGCAGCACAUGGAACUGACAAAGUUGUCAGAAGCUGCAUUAAAAAAGAUGACGGAAGAUUUCAAGGCUUUUCAUAUGGACAGAAUGAGGCAACAGAGAGCGGAAACAGAGAAGAUGGCAGCUUCCCUGAAAUUAGCACUGGGUGAGAACGUCCCCACUCAGCAGGUGACGACCAAGCAGAAUGAGAUGGAGCUGCACAAGGACUGCAAACGUAAUCAGGCCAAACAGACGAAGGCUAUCAUAGAGCUCACAGCUGCUCUGAAGAAGUCUGAGCAGGACCAGAAGAAUGCACAUCAUCAGUGGCAGCAGGAGAAGUCUUCCCUGACCUGCCAGCUAGAAAAAGAGAAAGUUGAGACCAUCAAGAACACGGAAGUUACCGAUAGUCUGUUGGAAACCUUCCGUCAGCAAACGACCUCCCUCAAGACACAGAUGAAUUCCUCACGGGGAGAAACUCUUCACAAGCUGCAGACGCAAGACAAGAUCAACAGAAAACUCACAGCUGCUCUGAAGAAAACGCUUGAAGAUCAGCUGGAGAGUGAACAUUUGAAAUGGAAGCAGGAGAAAGAAUGCCUGCAGUCUGCCAUGUUGGAAAACUCCUUUGACCAAAACAAUGAAAAAGGGAAGAACAAAGACCUCUUGGCCGCUGUGGAGAAAGCUGAGCAGCAGCUGGAGAGUCACACCAUUGAGUGGGAGCAGGAGAGGACUUCCUUCAAAGCCAGGCUGGAAAAAACAUGCCAGGACCUUGAACAUGCCCAGCUGAGGAACAUCACUGCUGUUCUUGCAAUGGAGAAGGAGGCUGUGGAGAUGUUUGAAAGAAACCAGGCAUCCCACAACCAGCUGGAGGAACAGAGAGCAGAGACUAACAAGGUCACAAGAGCUCUGAAAGAAACUGAAGAUCUGCUAGAAAAGCAAAGCUUCAGCUUUCAGCAACUGACAUUACAGCUUGAAACAUCCUGUGCCACCAAGCUGGAGGCGCAGCAGGAGGACCACAACAACCUCCUAGCUGCUCUGCGGAAGAAGUUUGAAGAUGACAGAGAGAGUGAAUGUCUCCAAUGGCACGAGAAGAAUUCUUUCCUCACUCAGACCAUCACCUUAUCAGGGUGGAGAGGUUUGCGUGUCCCAGUGAACCUGAGGGCUGUGUUGUCUGGAGCCUGGUGCUCCUGGAGGGUUUCCCCUGGCAAAGAGGUCUCAGGCGAGGGACCAGACCAAGAAUGGUUCAAAAAGACUCAACAAAACAAGAUAGAGGAGGGUGGAGGUGAAGGGCUCGACGGCGAGCGAUACACCUUUACUCUCCCCUCCCCGUGGGCUCGCCGGGUAGGGGGUGCGCUGCUGCAUGGGCCGUCAGUGUCAGUGGGGGGUCUAGACGGACCAGGCCCGGGCCGAUGCUGCCUCUGGGGGAGGUGGCGAACCUCCACACAGCCGGUAGAUAAAGCUCUCGUUCCCUCGUGA
ensembl:lncRNA